AGGUUAAGGGAAUCCUCAGGGGUGUGUAGGUCAAGGGAAUCUUCAGGGGUGUGUAGGUUAAGGGAAUCCUCAGGGGUGUGUAGGUUAAAGGAAUCCUCAGGGGUGUGUAGGUUAAAGGAAUCCUCAGGAGUCUGUAGGUUAAAGGGAUCCUCAGGGGUGUGUAGGUUAAAGGGAUCCUCAGGGGUGUGUAGGUUAAGGGAAUCCUCAGGGGUGUGUAGCUUAAGGGAAUCCUCAGGGGUGUGUAGGUUAAAGGGAAUCCUCAGGGGUGUGUAGGUUAAGGGAACCUUCAGGGGUGUGUAGGUUAAAGGGAUCCUCAGGGGUGUGUAGGUUAAAGGGAUCCUCAGGGGUGUGUAGGUUAAGGGAAUCCUCAGGGGUGUGUAGGUUAAAGGGAAUCCUCAGGGGUGUGUAGGUUAAAGGGAAUCCUCAGGGGUGUGUAGGUUAAAGGGAAUCCUCAGGGGUGUGUAGGUUAAGGGAAUCCUCAGGGGUGUGUAGGUUAAGGGAAUCCUCGGGGGUGUGUAGGUUAAGGGAAUCCUCAGGGGUGUGUAGGUUAAAGGGAAUCCUCAGGGGUGUGUAGGUUAAAGGGAAUCCUCAGGGGUGUGUAGCUCUCUUGCUUCCAGUGGGGAAGUGAGGGAAAAGCUUUCUCCUCCUCUACACCAUUAAGAAGCCAGUAAUGAAGACACUUGUGGAAGCAGCUGAUUAAACUUGUAUCUGAAAUCGGAUGCAGCCAGGAAGAUUGAACUUGCUUUGUUUAAUUGUGCCUGCAAACCCUGACCUGAGUUGAUACAACUUGAGGUGAAGCUGGAUUUCCAUUGAGUCCAAAGAGCACUGAGCACAGUGUAGUGGUUUCAUUAAGUCUGGAUUAUUACUGUAAUCGUGCCAAAAAUUUUGGCUUGGAUGAAAUCAUUCAGCAAAAUAACUUCUUAGUGAUGAGUUCUAGAACACAGUAGAGAAAAUAAAGACUAGCAACUCAAGUGGCUGCUGAUCCGAAGGGAUUAAAUGUUCUCUAAGCUUUCAAACUACUUUCUGGUCUUAUUGCUUAAAAAUGAAACUUUUUUUCUGUGCUGAGGUGAGGCUUUGGAAGGCUGAAGCCCCAAGGUGGCUUUGCAUUAGCUGGCAAGAAUUUUUUUAAGGAUCCCAAAAUUCCCCUCUGCGUGGUGUCGACAAGCUCCCAGGUAUGGAAGAACAUAACUAGUUUGGAUUUUUU